rnacentral:rRNA from 1 species
AAUACUGUCUUGUAAUUGGAAUGAGUGGAAGUUAAAUCGCUCCACGAGUAUCAAUUGGAGGGCAAGUCUGGUGCCAGCAGCCGCGGUAAUUCCAGCUCCAAUAGCGUAUAUUAAAGUUGUUGCAGUUAAAAAGCUCGUAGUUGGAUUUGUGGUGUGUCCAGUUGGCCUUUGCUCCCUGAGUGAUUGCGCUGCACUGGUCUGCCAUGUUUGGGUGGAAUCUAUGUGGCAUUAAGUUGUCGUGCAGGGGAUGCCCAUCGUUUACUGUGAAAAAAUUAGAGUGUUCAAGGCAGGCUUAUGCCGUUGAAUAUAUUAGCAUGGAAUAAUGAUAUAGGACCUUGGUACUAUUUUGUUGGUUUGCGCACUAAGGUAAUGAUUAAGAGGGACAGUUGGGGGUAUUUGUAUUCCAUUGUCAGAGGUGAAAUUCUUGGAUUUUUGGAAGACAAACUACUGCGAAAGCAUUUACCAAGGAUGUUUUCAUUAAUCAAGAACGAAAGUUAGGGGAUCGAAGAUGAUUAGAUACCAUCGUAGUCUUAACCAUAAACUAUGCCGACAAGGGAUUGGUGGAGUUUCGUUUCGUCUCCAUCAGCACCUUGUGAGAAAUCAUAAGUCU